CGAACGGCAGCGAGGAGAAGCUUGCUUCUCUGUCGGCGAGUGGCGAACGGGUGAGUAUAGCAUCGGAACGUGCCAAGUAGUGGGGGAUAACCAAACGAAAGUUUGGCUAAUACCGCGUAAGCUCCAAGGAGGAAAGUAGGGGACCUAAUAAGGCCUUACGCUAUUUGAUCGGCCGAUGUCGGAUUAGCUAGUUGGUGGGGUAAUGGCUCACCAAGGCAAUGAUCCGUAGCGGGUCUGAGAGGACGAUCCGCCACACUGGGACUGAGACACGGCCCAGACUCCUACGGGAGGCAGCAGUGGGGAAUUUUGGACAAUGGGGGAAACCCUGAUCCAGCCAUGCCGCGUGUAUGAAGAAGGCCUUAGGGUUGUAAAGUACUUUUGUUAGGGAAGAAAAGCUAGUUUUUAAUAUAAAUUAGUGAUGACGGUACCUAAAGAAUAAGCACCGGCUAACUACGUGCCAGCAGCCGCGGUAAUACGUAGGGUGCAAGCGUUAAUCGGAAUUAUUGGGCGUAAAGCGAGUGCAGACGGUUACUUAAGCCAGAUGUGAAAUCCCCAAGCUUAACUUGGGACGUGCAUUUGGAACUGGGUGACUAGAGUGUGUCAGAGGGAGGUAGAAUUCCACAUGUAGCGGUGGAAUGCGUAGAGAUGUGGAGGAAUACCGAUGGCGAAGGCAGCCUCCUGGGAUAACACUGACGUUGAGGCUCGAAAGCGUGGGGAGCAAAC
rnacentral:rRNA from 1 species